rnacentral:tRNA from 1 species
GGGCGAGUAGCUCAAUUGGUAGAGCAGUGGACUCUUAAUCCAUUGGCUCGGGGUUCAAGUCCCCGCUCGCCCA